UACGUAGGGGCAAGCGUUGUCCGGAUUCAUUGGGCGUAAAGAGCGUGUAGGCGGCCAGGUAGGUCGGUUGUGAAAACUGGAGGCUCAACCUUCAGAGGUCGACCGAAACCAUCUGGCUAGAGUCCGGGAGAGGAGAGUGGAAUCCUGGUGUAGCGGUGAAAUGCGCAGAUAUCAGGAAGAACACCCGUGGCGAAAGCGGCUCUCUGGAACGGUACUGACGCUGAGACGGCGAAAGCCGUGGGGAGCGAAACAGG
rnacentral:rRNA from 1 species